rnacentral:misc_RNA from 1 species
UGCACAGCCAGGAAUAAGACUGUCCAAAUAUAGCUCUCGAGCUGCCUGUCAUUGAGCUGAAGGUGUUGGUAGCAAGUCAUCUCAACAUGGCAGUAGACAAUGUCCUGAAUGUCGGGGAUCCCUCAGCUGUUGCAACAUAGAAAGGCUGUGGCUCUGCCUUCUCCUCCUCUCCCUAGUGAGAGAGAAUGAGUGAGGACUGCACCAGCCCACCAGCCCUAAACCGCCCCACACCAGCUAGCCUCAACAAGCUCUCAGGUCUGCCUGCCUGCCUGCCUGCCUGCCUGCCUGCCUUGAGUAUUGAUUCUGUGGCUGAGUGGCCUUAGCGUGUAUUAUCAUCAGCUCCGAUCAUUCUUCUGCCAUCCACUCCCUACCUGAAUUAUGAUGCCGAUGAACGUGUGAGCAGCUCAAAGACCAGGAAUAGUUGCCAUGACAUAAACGGAAACCCAAUUGCACCUAGUGCCUACAGGCAAAUGAGAGAGCCACCCAACAAGUCAGUCGAGGGAAGUCUUGUCAG